AUGCCAUGAUGUGGGCAUUUCUUAGUAAUUCCUUGUACAUCUCCCAAGCAUCAGGUACUGAUUCAUCAUCCACUUGUCUAAAAAGACAAAUUUCAUUUCUGAACUU